GGAGGUGCGGGGGCUCCGGUGGGCCUCGCGGUCUUCAAAACCGUUGUGGGGCGCUGCUCAGCGUCCUGGGUGGGUUCGACUCCCAUGCAUCUCCGCCA
rnacentral:tRNA from 1 species